UGUAGACUGAAAAUAGGUUGACAUUUUGUCUACUGGUAUUUCUUUCCUGUAGCCCUCACAGAUUCCACAUCCACCUGUAUAAUGGGCAUGUCAUCAAUGGUCUUGUAUGGCUCCGUUGAUAGAGCAUGACGCUUGUAACGUCAGGAUUGUGGGCUCGUUUCCCGGGACCACCCAAACGUAAAAGAAACCAGGAGUUCCCUUGGCCAGAGGAACCCUAAUCACUGACUGUUACAAAGACUUGGGCUUCAUGAGUUUCAUCUACAUCCUGGUCACUAAGUCAAUCAAGGUAAACCCAAUACACUGCUUUACAUCUCCAUGUUUCCUCAAGUAUCAAGCACAGAGCCUCAUCUUGACCUGCUAGUCAUUUCUGCAGGCAUUUUCAGAAAAUUCUGGAAACUGCCCAACUUCACGUGAUUUUCUCUUUCCAUGCGUCCACCCUAACUGUGCUACCUGCUGCCUCACCUGGUUCACGCCGUUGUCACCUCCAGCACUGGU